AACCCGAGAGGGGUGAGCGCCUACCUAAGCCGGCCCAGCCCGUUCGACCUGUUCAUCCGCAAGUCGCCCACGAUCACCUGUCUGGUGGUGGACCUGGCACCCAGCAAGUGGACCGUGAACCUGACCUGGUCCCGGGCCAGUGGGAAGCCUGUGAACCACUCCACCAGAAAGGAGGAGAAGCAGCGCAAUGGCACGUUAACCGUCACGUCCACCCUGCCGGUGGGCACCCGAGACUGGAUCGAAGGGGAGACCUACCAGUGCAGGGUGACCCACCCCCACCUGCCCAGGGCCCUCGUGCGGUCCACGACCAAGACCAGCGGCCCGCGUGCUGCCCCGGAAGUCUAUGCGUUUGCGACGCCGGAGUGGCUGGGGAGCCGGGACAAGCGCACCCUCACCUGCCUGAUCCAGAACUUCAUGCCUGAGGACAUCUCGGUGCAGUGGCUGCACAACGAGGUGCAGCUCCCGGACGCCCGGCACAGCACGACGCAGCCCCGCAAGACCAAGGGCUCCGGCUUCUUCAUCUUCAGCCGCCUGGAGGUGACCAGGGCCGAGUGGGAGCAGAAAGAUGAGUUCAUCUGCCGUGCAGUCCAUGAGGCAGCGAGCCCCUCACAGACCGUCCAGCGAGCGGUGUCUGUAAAUCCCGGUAAAUGA